UGGCUCAGGAUGAACGCUAGCGACAGGCUUAACACAUGCAAGUCGAGGGGCAGCGGGGGUGAUGGCUUGCCAUCACCUGCCGGCGACCGGCGCACGGGUGAGUAACACGUAUGCAACCUGCCCGCCACAGGGGGAUAAGCGGAAGAAAUUCCGUCUAAUACCGCGUGACGCGGCGCCGGGGCAUCCCGGUGCCGCCAAAGGGAUUACCGGUGGCGGAUGGGCAUGCGGCGCAUUAGCUAGUCGGCGGGGUAACGGCCCACCGAGGCGACGAUGCGUAGGGGUUCUGAGAGGAAGGUCCCCCACACUGGUACUGAGACACGGACCAGACUCCUACGGGAGGCAGCAGUGAGGAAUAUUGGUCAAUGGGCGCGAGCCUGAACCAGCCAAGUCGCGUGAGGGAUGACGGUCCUACGGAUUGUAAACCUCUUUUGCCGGGGAGCAAGCGUGCGUUCGUGAACGCGCGUCGAGAGUACCCGGAGAAAAAGCAUCGGCUAACUCCGUGCCAGCAGCCGCGGUAAUACGGAGGAUGCGAGCGUUAUCCGGAUUUAUUGGGUUUAAAGGGUGCGUAGGCGGGAUGCCAAGUCAGCGGUAAAAAUGCGGUGCUCAACGCCGUCGAGCCGUUGAAACUGGCGUUCUUGAGUGGGCGAGAAGUAUGCGGAAUGCGUGGUGUAGCGGUGAAAUGCAUAGAUAUCACGCAGAACUCCGAUUGCGAAGGCAGCAUACCGGCGCCCUACUGACGCUGAGGCACGAAAGCGUGGGUAUCGAACAGGAUUAGAUACCCUGGUAGUCCACGCAGUAAACGAUGAAUGCUAACUGUCCGGCUCGAAUGAGCGCUGGGCGGUACAGCGAAAGCGUUAAGCAUUCCACCUGGGGAGUACGCCGGCAACGGUGAAACUCAAAGGAAUUGACGGGGGCCCGCACAAGCGGAGGAACAUGUGGUUUAAUUCGAUGAUACGCGAGGAACCUUACCCGGGCUCAAACGCAGGAUGACGGGUCCCGAAAGGGGUCUUUCUUCGGACAUUCUGCGAGGUGCUGCAUGGUUGUCGUCAGCUCGUGCCGUGAGGUGUCGGCUUAAGUGCCAUAACGAGCGCAACCCCUGUCCACAGUUGCCAGCAGGUAAAGCUGGGGACUCUGUGGAGACUGCCGGCGCAAGCUGCGAGGAAGGCGGGGAUGACGUCAAAUCAGCACGGCCCUUACGUCCGGGGCGACACACGUGUUACAAUGGCAGGUACAGCGGGAUGCCACGGGGCGACCCGGCGCUGAACCCGAAAACCUGUCUCAGUUCGGAUUGGAGUCUGCAACCCGACUCCAUGAAGCUGGAUUCGCUAGUAAUCGCGCAUCAGCCACGGCGCGGUGAAUACGUUCCCGGGCCUUGUACACACCGCCCGUCAAGCCAUGGAAGCCGGGGGUACCUGAGUGCGUGACCGCGAGGAGCGCCCUAGGGUAAAACCGGUGACUGGGGCUAAGUCGUAACAAGGUAGCCGU
rnacentral:rRNA from 1 species